AAUCAGUAUUCAGCCUACUUCAGGGGGGCUCCAUGCACGUGGUGAGCUCUGCCUCAGGAGCAUCCCUUGCAGAGAACUCAGAGCCUGUUGGGGGCGGGGCGCAUCCAGAUUGAGAACAGCAGCAGCUAGAGCAGUUUCAUUGCCCAGCCCCGCCCCGCCGGACUCAAGUUUUCUCCAGUGAGAUGUUCCCAGAAGUUGCUGGCUGGGGCUUUCAGGAAGACGUUUCAGACGGAAGACAGGCUAAGCUAG
rnacentral:lncRNA from 1 species